rnacentral:rRNA from 1 species
AGUGAACGCUGGCGGUAGGCCUAACACAUGCAAGUCGAACGGCAGCACAGUAAGAGCUUGCUCUUACGGGUGGCGAGUGGCGGACGGGUGAGGAAUACAUCGGAAUCUACUUUUUCGUGGGGGAUAACGUAGGGAAACUUACGCUAAUACCGCAUACGACCUACGGGUGAAAGCAGGGGAUCUUCGGACCUUGCGCGAUUGAAUGAGCCGAUGUCGGAUUAGCUAGUUGGCGGGGUAAUGGCCCACCAAGGCGACGAUCCGUAGCUGGUCUGAGAGGAUGAUCAGCCAAACUGGAACUGAGACACGGUCCAGACUCCUACGGGAGGCAGCAGUGGGGAAUAUUGGACAAUGGGCGCAAGCCUGAUCCAGCCAUACCGCGUGGGUGAAGAAGGCCUUCGGGUUGUAAAGCCCUUUUGUUGGGAAAGAAAAGCAGCAGGUUAAUACCCCGCUGUUCUGACGGUACCCAAAGAAUAAGCACCGGCUAACUUCGUG